UACGUAGGGGUCUAGCGUUGUCCGGAAUUAUUGGGCGUAAAGAGCUCGUAGGCGGUUCGGCAAGUCGGAUGUGAAAUCUCCACGCUCAACGUGGAGGGGUCAGCUGAUACUGCUGUGACUCGAGUCCGGUAGGGGAGUGUGGAAUUCCCGGUGUAGCGGUGAAAUGCGCAGAUAUCGGGAGGAACACCGAUGGCGAAGGCAGGUCUCUGGGCCACUACUGACGCUGAGAAGCGAAAAGCAUGGGGGAGCGAACAGG
rnacentral:rRNA from 1 species